AAGAAGAAGAAGAAGGACACAAACUGCUAUCAGCACAGUCUGAGUCUCGUUAGUACUAUACUGCCACUUGUGCAUUCACAGAAGAAACCGCGUUUUGAUGGAAAUGCUCCAGGAAGUUUCGCGCUGCGCGCAGCGCGCUUAUUAAGGAUGUGUUUGGCUGCUGGAUGGGAUUGGGCUAUCCGAGCUUCCAAACACGUCCUAAGGCUCGUGACCGUCGUCCAGCUUCGCCACAGUCACACUGGGGCUCCUUCCAGCUUCGCCGUAUGGAACGCGCCAGCUGCGAUGCGAGCGCCCCACUCUGGCACGGCCAGAGAACGAAGAAGCGCGACGACUGCUAGAGUAGCUAGUCGCCGCCGGCGACCGGCGUUGCUCCAAAGAUGAGAAAUUAACCGCCGGUAAGAUAAUAGGUGCCGGUGUUUCGAUCACGAGCGGUGGCCGGCGAUCGGCGGUGUCCUCCACGUAUGUACGGUGUGGACGUCGACGUACGGCGAGAGCCGGUGCGGUUCGAUCGUCUCCCUCCCAUGUCUCUCACUGAGGAGAUGGAAGCCAUAUUAUUCCAAAAAAAACAAAACAUGGAAGCCAUAGCUGAACUGCGAUAUUACUACUAUUACAAACGAUUUGUUUUUUUUUUUGUUCACUUUCAUUUGUUCUUUCUUUCUUUGAUUCUUUUUUUUUUCGUCUUUCUCUACGAUCUGUUCAACGGACCAAGCGAUUCGUUCAUUCGAUGUAGCAUUAUCCGACUUGGUGGCAGCGACCUUUUUUUUUUAAAAAAAAAGUUUUUCUCACCGCUGUAGUAAUAAUCAAAGUGACAAUUAUAUGUACAAGCAUUUUUUAGCUAGAAAAAAUCAAAUCAUCUCUAAAAAUACAAUUAUAUGUACAAGCAUUUUUUAACGAAUUUCAUAAGUUAUGUACUUCGAAUUUGCAUGUAUGUAGGGAUAUAUUCUCACAACCAAAGAAAAAUGUAACCUAAUCGAAUAUCUCUGAAACCAACCAAACAUUAUUUAUUCGUACCAGCAUCACAUACUGAUCAAGAAAUUAAUAUGGCAAACCAAAUAACCCAUCCAUCAACCACGCUCAUCAAAUAGACAAAAUCGGGGAGUCAGAAUUCAUCAAAGAGUAGAGCAGCUUAUAUAAUAAGUUGUUUUUUUUCUUAAAAUUAUAUGGUGAUUUAAGAUAAUUUAACUAUAACUUUAGAGACAAGUCUAAAACUCAAGCCUAACUAUCAUAGAACUGCCUCCGUCCCUCCCUGACUAUGCUAGAACAAUACGGGGUACCACCAUAUGACCCAGUUCCUUUUUAGAUUAUCAUCGGAUUAUUUGUUCAAUAUUUUUUAAAGUACGUUUUCUCGAAAUACUUUCGCCUAAUUGUAUUUUUAAUAACCACUUAAAUCGACGGAAUUGCUAGAUUACUAUCGACGGUUUUGUAGGGGGAACUUUUGAUUUUUGGACCGUUAGAUAUACGCUAAGAUUCAUGCUAGCAAGUAUGAGGAAAAAUAAAUUGGCAAGUGCAGCUGAUGUGAUUCAACCUCACCGCCCUUGAGUUUGUUGACGAUCUAUGCUACCAUCAAACCUACAAAUUUUUAAUAGUUUUAUUUCAGCUACAUAUAAAUUACAUACGAGUUACAGUGUACAUGCACUCCAUUACACUAUAGUUAUAUCAGAAAGUUUUAUAAAAAAAAACUUGUGAUAGUUUUUAUUUUUUUUAAUAAUGAAAUAGAUAUAUCCCGGCCUUUGCUCAACAGAGCUACAUCCAAUUAUUACAAUCUAGCCCUCAAUAAAACGUGUAGUUCAAAUAAAAUUAAACACACCCAAGCAUAAAAAAUUGACCAAACUAAGAUAAUGAGAACACAAUUAUUCAAGUCUAUUUGUGAAUCUUCAUCCAUAAUUUGCAAAAAGUUGCAUAAACGUCAUCUUAAGCUUGUGACAUGCAACCUUCAGAAGCUCUCCAUCAUCAUCACACCUUUAUAGUUGUGCCCAAGACCGGAGCCAAUAUGUUGUCCUAAAAAUCCUGCAUAUAUGAGAUAGAUGAUGAUUUGUCAAAAACCAUAUCAUUCUUAUUCAACCACAAAGCCCAGCAUAUAGCAGAUGCUCUACAAGAAUUAGUUUUGCACUUCUUCUUAUAUACCCCAAAAGCCAACUGUACUCUCCAAGCAAUUUUUGCAAAAUUACAAUCCAUAAAAAGAUGUUGUAUAGUCUUAUUUUUCAUGCAGAAACAACAUCUUAAGCUUUCGUUCCAAUUUCAUCUUGCCAAAUUGUCUUUGGUUAACAUAACCCCUUUAAGCAAGUACCACAUAAUGAUCUUAAUCUUAAGCGUCAUCUUAAGCUUACAAAUAAUCUUAUUUCUCUCAAUAUAGCCAUUAUUAAUUAGGGCUAAAUACAUUGACCUUACGACCAUUCUUAUGGUAAUUCCAUCUAAAACAAUAAGGAGAAUGAUUCAACGGAAUAUGUACAGUAGAAGCGCACAUCUCAUGCCAAUAGAUAAGAUUCGGACCCACUAAAGCUCUUCUAAAAUAAACAUUAAGCGAAACAGAUCCCAUGACAUUAGCAAUAAAAGAACUUUUCCUUCGGACCAUAGAAUAUAAAUAUAGAAAUUUAUCUUUAAAAGCUAGGUUUCCUAGCCACUUAUCCUCCCAAAAUCUCGUUUGUUCCCCAUUAUUAACAAUCAAAAACCCAUAUUUAGGAAAAUACUUUUAACUUUCAUGAGACCGGACCAAAAAUGGUAAUCACCUUGUUUUUUAUCCACUUGGGUUAUAGACUGAUUGUAAAGAUAUUUUCUCUUUAAUAAAUUCUGCCAAACACAUUCCUCAUUUAUCAACUUAAAUAAUGGACAAUGAUUUUCUACACCUAGGUGACAUGGCACCUAUCAUUUGCAUACGACUCAAAUAGUUAUAGAAAAAAUUGAAAAAAUUUAGUAACAUCGUUUGUGAUUAUACAAGUCUAUACACAAACAUGCAGGACUAAAUUUGAUCUACAACUAGAGAAACAAAAAUAAUAAAAUCAGACAGUCAAUAGUACCCGUACAGUGCAGAUAAAAUUUGUUAUUUUUGUUUCUUCAUAUAUCGAUCAAAUUUAGACUUGCAUGUUUGCAUAGUGCCUUAUCUUAUCAUGGACUAUCUUAUUAAAUUUUAUGAAUUUUUUAUAUAACUAUUUAAAUUACAUGCAUAUUCCUAGGUGCCAUGGCAUCUAGGUGUAGAAAAUACUUUCUGCUUAAAUAACUAUUUGUUCAAAAGACACUUAUUUUGUAUUUCUAAAUUAUGAACCCCUGAACCACCAUGAUAUUUGGGUUGAUAAAUUAUAUCAUCCCCUUACCAAAAGAAAUGUAAUAUAUAAACUUUUAAAGAGCUCUAUCUCGAAAAAGAUAUCAUAGAUUAAAUCAAAUAGGAGGAUACACAUACGGUUCGUCCUAGACCACUUGGUGUGCAGUAAGUUUGUGAAAGGAGGAUUAAUACUCACGGUCGCAAUCCCCUGAUCCACGGCCAUCGUUGAGAACCAGGAAGUAGACCCCACCGACGACGACGGAGGCCGUCAUGGCCCAGACGAACACGGCCAUGGCGGCUGGCAUGGUCUGCUCUACGCGGUACGCAAACGCGCAGCUGAGGGCAGUCAACAG